rnacentral:rRNA from 1 species
CCUACGGGUGGCAGCAGUGAGGAAUAUUGGUCAAUGGGCGCAAGCCUGAACCAGCCAAGUAGCGUGAAGGAUGACUGCCCUACGGGUUGUAAACUUCUUUUAUAAAGGAAUAAAGUGAGGCACGUGUGCCUUUUUGUAUGUACUUUAUGAAUAAGGAUCGGCUAACUCCGUGCCAUCAGCCGCGGUAAUACGGAGGAUCCGAGCGUUAUCCGGAUUUAUUGGGUUGAAAGGGAGCGUAGAUGGGUUGUUAAGUCAGUUGUGAAAGUUUGCGGCUCAACCGUAAAAUUGCAAUUGAUACUGGCAGUCUUGAGUACAGUUGAGGUAGGCGGAAUUCGUGGUGUAGCGGUGAAAUGCUUAGAUAUCACGAAGAACUCCGAUUGCGAAGGCAGCUUACUAAACUGCCACUGACAUUGAUGCUCGAAAGUGUGGGUAUCAAACAGGAUUAGAUACCCGAGUAGUC